rnacentral:rRNA from 1 species
GAGUGAACGCUGGCGGUAGGCCUAACACAUGCAAGUCGAACGGCAGCACAGUAAGAGCUUGCUCUUACGGGUGGCGAGUGGCGGACGGGUGAGGAAUACAUCGGAAUCUACUUUUUCGUGGGGGAUAACGUAGGGAAACUUACGCUAAUACCGCAUACCACCUACGGGUGAAAGCAGGGGAUCUUCGGACCUUGCGCGAUUGAAUGAGCCGAUGUCGGAUUAGCUAGUUGGCGGGGUAAGGGCCCACCAAGGCGACGAUCCGUAGCUGGUCUGAGAGGAUGAUCAGCCACACUGGAACUGAGACACGGUCCAGACUCCUACGGGAGGCAGCAGUGGGGAAUAUUGGACAAUGGGCGCAAGCCUGAUCCAGCCAUACCGCGUGGGUGAAGAAGGCCUUCGGGUUGUAAAGCCCUUUUGUUGGGAAAGAAAAGCAGCAGGUUAAUACCCCGCUGUUCUGACGGUACCCAAAGAAUAAGCACCGGCUAACUUCGUG